UAAACGACUCUCGGCAACGGAUAUCUCGGCUCACGCAUCGAUGAAGAACGUAGCAAAAUGCGAUACUUGGUGUGAAUUGCAGAAUCCCGUGAACCAUCGAGUUUUUGAACGCAAGUUGCGCCCAAAGCCAUUUGGUCGAGGGCACGUCUGCCUGGGCGUCACG
rnacentral:rRNA from 1 species